UACGUAGGGUGCAAGCGUUGUCCGGAAUUAUUGGGCGUAAAGAGCUCGUAGGCGGUCUGUUGCGUCGGCUGUGAAAACCCGGGGCUCAACUCCGGGCCUGCAGCCGAUACGGGCAGACUAGAGUUCGGCAGGGGAGACUGGAAUUCCUGGUGUAGCGGUGAAAUGCGCAGAUAUCAGGAGGAACACCGGCGGCGAAGGCGGGUCUCUGGGCCGAUACUGACGCUGAGGAGCGAAAGCGUGGGGAGCGAACAGG
rnacentral:rRNA from 1 species